GGAAGGCGGCGAUUUUUUUUUUCCCCUUCCCUCUCGGAGAAACAAGUUUUCCGGGCAGCCAGCCUAACUGCUCCUGCUUCGCAGCCUUCGGUGGGUGGGGGAAGAAGUAGCAUUUUUUUUUUUGUUUUGUUUUUAAAACCCGACAUCCUGUAUCCGUUUCUGAAAGUUUCUGGGGCCUCGGGGCGAAGAGUUGAAACUUAGCGCUUGCCGGAUGCACCAUGUUUGCUGCAAAAAAAAGGAAGCCAGCGAGCAAAGGCCAGGGCGCAGCGACGGCUAAACAGCUUGGCUUGUUUGUAGACUUUUCAUGUGAAGAUAUGAUGAUGAAUACAGAAGAGGAUGGUGAUGAUGAAGACCUAGAAGCAGAAUUAGCUGAAAUAACUGGAAAGAAGCCUGUUGCUAAGCCAAAGCCUAAAGAAAAAACAACUUUGCCAAUGGACCAAAUAGAACAAAUGGCUGAGGAAUGUAUGAAGGAUGUAGAUGAAAAUGAAGAUGAGGACGAUGAUUUGGAAAAUGAUGAAGAGCUCUUGGCAGAGCUGAAGGAAGUGGUUCAGGAGGAGGAGGAAGAAUCUACAAAUUCACCUGGUCCCACAGAGCCUGCUCCAGAAGCAAUGAAUCAACUUGCUUCUCAGCCUCAGUUAAGUGCAGUUUCUGUGAAUUCUGGUGGAUUACAAGAUACACUGGAAGAUAGACUCCAGAUGUAUAGGGUUGCAAUUAGUAAUGCAAAGCAAACUGGAGAGACAUCAAAAAUGAGGAGAUAUGAACGAGCACUGAAGACAUUACAGACUAUGCUGGCUUCUGCAAAGAAAGGUAAAAAGAUAGAGGAAACAGAAAUUCCUCCUCCAGUUGCUACUGGCAAAAGCAGUGCCACGGUGCUCCAACCUGAUGGCUUAAGUGCAAAAUGUUUGGAAGCUGAAUAUGUGGAAGAUGGAAUAACUGAAAUGCAUCAGGAUAUACCAAGACCAGCAAAUGAGAGACUUCUACCUAAACCUAGUGUUUCUGUGUUACCUGUGAUGUCUUCAGUGUCUGAACCUCCAAGCAUCGCAGAGUCUGUAACUUCUGUUCAGUCAAAGACCAUUGAUGCAUCCACUACUGAUGAUGCAGCAAUUAAUGACAGCUCAGGGUGUGAUGAUACAAAGACAAAAAUAUUAUUGAUUGGAAGACAGAAGGAGUAUAAAUUGGCUGCACUGAGAGCAAAACAGCAAGGAGACAUCACAAAGGCUAAAGAAUACAUGAAAACCAGCAAAAAAUUUGAUGUUGUGAUUAAGGCUUUGGACAGUGGGGAGCCUGUGGAUCUGAGUAAUCUGCCACCAUCACUAACAGAUACUUCAGCCCAAGAAAAAUCACUAAGUCCUUCCAGUGUACUAACUCUUCCUGAUCAACAAAGAAUCGAUCCCAAAGCUGAACCUCAAGUCACUAUAGAAUCUGGCCUACCUUCACCACCCAAAGAUGUUCUGGAGGCUCUACAUCAAAGAAUGGAGAAAUACAAAACAGCAGCAGCUCAAGCUAGAACUGAUGGGAAUGACCGUAAAGCAAGGAUGCAUCAGAGAAUAGCAAAGCAAUAUCAAGAUGCCAUCCGAGCACACACAGCUGGAAGAAAAGUGGAUUUUGCAGAUCUUCCUGCACCCCCAGGAUUCCCACCAAUACCAGGAGUGGAAGAAGCAUCUGGAGAUCGUGGUAUUGCUGGAACGCUUGAAGCUGCAUCCAGACUAGCUACUGCAGAAGUUGAGGAGGAGGACGAGGCAGCAGAAGAUGAGAGUGGAACCCCUCAAACAGCUACACAAUCUUCAAUUGCAAAGAAGCCAGCAAAGACUACAGAUCAUGGAGUACAAACGGCUGGGCCAACAUUGACCUUACCAGCUGCAUCAGAGGAAAUGAAAUCCCCAAAACCAUUAAAGAAGCCAACACCAAAUGAUCACCUGAUUCAACUCAGUUCAGUCGCUCAGCAACAAUUGGAAUUUCUUCAGAUUAGGAAGAAACAGUACAUGAGAGCUGCUGUGCAAGCAAAGCAAAAGAAGAAUCUGGAACAAGCAAAACAUUUCCUUAGAACUGCAAAAGGCUUUGAUCCAAUGAUUGUGGCUGUCCAAAGUGGGAAACCAAUUGAUAUUUCUAAGGUUCCUUCACCCCCUGAGGCUGAAGAUGAUGAUGACUUUAUAAUGGUGCAUCACAAAGAUGUGCUAAUUUUACCAAAGAUGGAUGAAGUGUACAUACACCUUAUGAACCUUCUGAAGGAGCAGUAUGAGAAAUGUAUGUCCUAUUCCGAGCAAUUUAUACAUCUUGGUAACGUGGCCGAGACAACAAGAUUUGAAAAGAUGGCCGCAGAUUGCCAAAAAAAUAUUGAAAUCCUUAAACUGGGGCAAGCUCAAGGUUUGGAUCCACCAAAGUACCAUUUUGAGGAGAGAACCUUUAAAACUGUACGCAUAUUUUCAGACAUCAGCAGUACUGAAAUGCUUCUUAUCGUUGUAAAAGGAAUAAAUCUUCCUGCACCUUCAGGUGUGGCAACACAUGACCUUGAUGCUUUAGUGAAGUUUGAAUUUCAGUAUCCUAGUAUGGAGCAAGCCCAACGAAACAAAACGACUGUGAUCAAGAAUACUAAUUGUCCAGAAUAUAAUCAGAGUUUUAUGCUCAAUAUUAACAGAAAUCAUCGAGGAUUUAAACGAAUAAUUCAGACCAAAGGAAUUAAAUUUGAAAUAUUUCAUAAGGGUGGAUUUUUAAGGAGUGACAAACCAGUGGGAACUGCACAACUAAAACUGGACAAAUUAGAAACAGAAUGUGAGGUCAGAGAAAUUGUUGAGAUUUUUGAUGGCAGAAAAUCUACUGGUGGUCGAUUAGAACUGAAAGUUCAGAUCAGAGAACCUCUUAGCGGACAAGAUUUGCAAAUUAAUACAGAAAAAUGGCUGAUCCUUGAUCCAGCCACUAGGGCACAGGACUGAAGUAACUAUGCCAGGUCAAAUGAUAAAAUCUAUGCACCUCUUUUGUGACUGCUACAGUAAAGAACAGUUCUAGAAGGAAUUGCUGCUAUUGGGAAUGCUAUAUAUACAAUGCCAAAGAUGUGAAAGUGUAUUUAAAGCUGUGUCUUUUUAUUGCAAAUCAGCACAUUCUACUACAAACUACUUUGCUUUGCCCUGUUUCUUUAAAGACAUAUCGGAACAAUGGAAUUUGCAUUAAAAAGGGAGAAACGUGUUAGAUCUCAGCAUUCCUUCUCCUCUGACACCACCUCAUCUUUAUACAAGAGUGAAAAGCCUCUAGCCUCUGUACAUCAAGUUGCUAUCUACAGGAACCGAAGUUGAGAAAACUCACCCUGCCCAGGGACAUUCAAAGUAUCAUGCUCCUUUGCCUAGGAAUUCAUUUGCCCAAGAUUCUGCUUCAUGCCAGCACCAAGAAUACUUUUCUGUACUUGGGCGACUGUCCAUAAUAGAAGCAGUUUCCUUCCAUGGAGGCUUUAAACACUGAUCCCUGUUUAUUUGAACAGUUAUUACCUGAGGUGCUCAUGCACCAGCAAAUACAGUUAAUACAGCUGAUACCAAAUGCAGUAUGGCUGAGGAAGUCAUUAAAAGAUCUUUUACUUUUA